CCCUAUGGGCGCAGCUGAUGCAGCACGCCGCGUGAGGGACGACGGCCUUCGGGUUGUAAACCUCUUUUAGCAGGGAAGAAGCGAAAGUGACGGUACCUGCAGAAAAAGCGCCGGCUAACUACGUGCCAGCAGCCGCGGUAAUACGUAGGGCGCAAGCGUUAUCCGGAAUUAUUGGGCGUAAAGAGCUCGUAGGCGGUUUGUCGCGUCUGCUGUGAAAUCCGGAGGCUCAACCUCCGGCCUGCAGUGGGUACGGGCAGACUAGAGUGCGGUAGGGGAGAUUGGAAUUCCUGGUGUAGCGGUGGAAUGCGCAGAUAUCAGGAGGAACACCGAUGGCGAAGGCAGAUCUCUGGGCCGUAACUGACGCUGAGGAGCGAAAGGGUGGGGAGCAAACAGGCUUAGAUACCCUGGUAGUCCACCCCGUAAACGUUGGGAACUAGUUGUGGGGUCCAUUCCACGGAUUCCGUGACGCAGCUAACGCAUUAAGUUCCCCGCCUGGGGAGUACGGCCGCAAGGCUAAAACUCAAAUGAUUUGGACGGGGA
rnacentral:rRNA from 1 species